UGCAGGCAUGAGAAGAACAAGGCGUG
rnacentral:piRNA from 1 species